AACAGGGUGCCUCCUGGUCCCAGCUUUCUAGAUGUAAGAGGUUUGUGUGUUCUGUAUGCCGCUCCCUCCCUCUUCCAGGAUCUCCUGUUGCCCUGCAGUGCUGGUCGCAGCAGAGUGGCGCCCCUCGUGGGGCUGGAAGAGGAGGUCGGCCACGAGCAGAGAAAAAAGGAAGGUCUGCCACGAGCAGGAAAAGGUGAAACUACAGACGGCGGAGACGCUAGCCUUGCACUCAGCAGAGUCGUGACCAUGAGUGGGCAAGUAGGAACUUGAAACCAGGAUAACAAUGGGGCAGAAUCAAUUUCAGGAAACUAAACAUUACAUUCAAUUGCUUAAGUGUAUGUUGAGACAGUCAGAGGCUCGGGUAACAGGGUCUAAGAUAGAGGAAUUGUUGGAAGCUGUGAUCAAAUAUAACCCUAGGUUUCCAGGAGAGUGUAUUAUGGACCCAGGAUCGUGGGAUCUCAUGGGAGAAAAUUUAAAGCAUGCCCAGCAAUCUGGCCUCUCUGUUUGUUUUUUCUACAUGGGGACCUAUCAUUCCAGCUUUACGUAUAUACGUAGGGGAGCAGUACGACGUGUUUUGGAAUACUUGCGGGAGCAUAAAGAAAAACCUAGGCCUUCUGCUCCCCCUCAGCCUGAUCCCUUUCUUGAUGAGAAUUUGAAUAAGCCUUUAGCUGUGGAGGCAACACUAACUCCCCUUCAAUCAGCCCUAAAAUCUACUAGCCCCGAGGAAGGGACCUUUUUAGCAUCCCUGUAACAACUGCCCCCAUCCUCAGGUCCCACAAUGUCUUUUCUAACAAAGGAAAUCUUGGUGACUCCAUUUUGCUCUGGUUUCAGCUGAAAAGCCCACCUGCGACCCCCUCCUCCUUCCCUCUUCUCCCAGGAACAAUGUUUCAAAUUCGCCAACCGAGAAGAACAUGGGCCCUGACCUGACCCAUGGGAAGGGGGCAGGUCCAUCACCUGCAUUAGGCAUAAAUAGGGAGGGUCUUUUCUGCUUUGCGUGGGCGCUGUGAGUAAAGAGCCCUUCCGCAGAAGUAAAGAGCCUUGGCGAGGUCUACCCCGUGUUUAUGUGUCCGGUUUUCCAACACUGGCGUCCCGAGCCAUUCUCCCACACCAGGGCAAAAUAUCCACAUGCAUAACCCUUUUGACUUUAAAGCUCUUAAAGCUCUACGGGAGGGUGGAAUACAGAAUGGAGUUACAGCUCCUUUUACUAUGAGUAUGGCAGAAAGCACGGGGACACUUCAGCUUCCCCCAUGGGAUUGGCACAGGAUCGACAAAGCCACCCUAACGGUGGAGACUAUUUAAUUUGGAAGUCUAGUCUUUCAGGUUUUUUGGUCAGGAACAGGCUCGCUUAAAUCAAAGAAAUAAUGUCCCAGUUACUUUUGAAAUGUUGCUUGGGACCGGCCCUUUUCUUGACUUAGCAAGCCAACUGACUGACGAUCCUCGGGCCCAUGAGCCGCUGAGCCUGGCCACCCAAAGUGUGGGUGACAAGUCCUGGGAGAGGAAACCCACAAGGACCUUCUGCGCAAGGUCCUCAAGGCCCUACAGAGCCUUGCCCACAGUUUGUGCACCUAACUCGAGCCGUACGUCGCCAAGUAGCACAUUCUCAGGUGGCUGGUAUUUUAAUUAAACAACUGGCAUAUGAAAAUGCAAAUAAAGCCUGUAAAAGGGCAGUGGUCCCUGUAAGGAAUUCAGGAGGCAUCUCUGCGUUUAUUAAGGGGUGUCAAGAUGUAGGAAGUAGAGGGUUAUGCUCAAGCAGAGCUUGCUGCAGCAUGGAAAGGAACCCUUAGCUCUGGAAAGAUGUUUUAAUUGUGGAGAAGCAGGACAUUUUCAGAAAGCAUGCUGAGCUCGAUUAAAAGGGAAACCAUCCCUAGCCGCAGGAUCACCCCCAGGACCUGGUCAUAACCCUGGUUAAUGUCCGCAUUGUCAGAGAGGAAAUCUUUGGGCUAAUCAAUGUCGGUUUAGUUUCACCAAAACGGCUCUCUUAACAACUCCGGUGUCAGGAAAUGGGACACCAUCAACCAAUGAGGGCAUGUGUGGCUCAAACCGAAAACGAAUCCAAGCCCUUACAAGGGCCACUCCCAGUGGCGCAGGGUUGGACUUGCCCUGCCCCACAGCAGCAGUUUUAACACGUGAACGGGGCGUAGGGCUUUCCUUCCUGGAAUAUUUGGCUCUCUUCCUCCUGUUAGGCCUUAAUGAGAAGGGAGAAGGGGCUUAACCAGGAAAGGCUGACACUGUUGCCUGGGGUGGUGGAUGCGGACUCUCAGGGAGAAGUUAAGGUGAUGGGGAGGUCAGAGGCCAUUCGUCCUCUACAGCCGGGAAUGAGAAUUGCUCAGUUGUUCCUGCUGCCGCAUCUUAAGAAUUGCUGUUUCCUGUACUGCCGAAUUUGUAACUGAGUCUCUGAUAAAAUGAUAGUUCCGGAUGAGGUCAGUGGUCUCCAGACCAUGGGAAAAUGCAGCAAGCGGGAAUAUUUUCCUGGACCAUUAGAGACUAGAAAGAUAGGUGGUCCAGAGACUUUUGGCUCCUGUAAACAAGGCCUAGUCCAGUAAUAGCACAUGGAGUUGCCUAUUAGUAAAAUCUUUACUAGAUCUGGGAAUAGUCAUUCCUACCAUUGUGAGACGAAAUGGCCCUGAAAUGCCUCUCAGACUAUAGUUGAGUUUAGGACCAUGGGGAAACACUGCGAACCGAAGUUUGGUCCUUGCUGACAUCAGCCUCUACAUGGAGUAAAACAUAAGCCACUGCAGCUGCCGACCCUCAGCGCCCCCUGAUCAGAGCUCAGCAUGGAGACCGGGAGAGAGGCGCUCUGUGCUCUGGGAAAACUGACAGAACAGGCCUUCAGAGAGUUAGAUUUAAGGAGAGGACCACCGCCCCAUCCCAUGUAACGAGAGGCUGGAAUCAAAGAUUCCCCGGAGGACGGAGACAGACCCCCCGCCUCCCACACAUGACUGUUCAACCUGGAGACCUGCUGCAGACGUGGCUGUAGAAUUGGAUUGACCCAUAGAAACCAGGUGAACGCUCUGCAACCAAAAUGUCCUGGGACUGUUCUUAUGCAGCCAAUACAAAGGGGAGAUGGUGGCGACCACUGCAACUGCUGACUUUGCAGUAAACAAACUCAGCGCACGUGCAAAACACCACCUCUAAGAUAGUUAUCACCUGAACCUGAUUUUGCUCAUGAACUUACGUCACCUUCCCUAAUAAAAGCCGUGAGGAUUAAAGCCUAGGCGCCUUCGCGGAACAGAGCACCUCCUGGUCUCCGGCUUUCUAGAUGUAAGAGAGGCUUGUGUGUUUUGGUAUGAUUCUCCCGCCCUCUUUCAGGAUCUCCUGUUGCCCUUCAGUGCUGGUUGCAACAAUGAUAAGUCUUGUGGCUUCUGCCUGGGUCCCGGGACACUCGUUCUUGGAGCUCUUGAGCAACCCAUUAAAAAAGUCUGUCUUGAGGCCACAAUGCUGUAAAGACACUGAAGCCAGCUCAUACUCUCAGCAUCCAGCUAUCCAGGUCCUACCUGCUGAGGCCUCAGAUACCCAGAGGAGAAAUGAACCCGCCCCACUAUUCAGUGUCUGAAUUCCAACCUGUGGAUUCAUGAGCCAAACAAAAGCUUGUCAUUUUGAGGAGCUGCACAGCGCUGAUAACUGGACCAGAACUUGUUGCUGGGCGCAAAAGAGUCUCCAGAUUCUCAGCAAAAGAAAUGGCUUCAGAGCAAAUGAACUCUUGAUUAUGGAUUUGGAUGGAAUUCACAACUAUUGUGAACCAGUGACUAUUGUCUUCAGAUUGAUAGGAGCUGUAUUUCAGGAACUGCAUCCAGGCGCUUCAUUCUGAUCUACAUGACAGAUGUUGGACUUCAGCCUCUCCAGAUGGUAAAUGACACUCAAAUUAAGAAAUGGCUUCUAGGAAAAUCAAUGGUGCUGCAGAAAAAUGUGGUCUAAAUAUGAAGCCAAGGACAUGACUGGAAAUUCAUUUGCUGAGACCUCCGAGGAACAAGAUGGUGUUUUAUGGACCUUUUCAAAUAGAUAAGAAAAUCUUUCUAAAGAUCUUGAAGUCCAUAGGCUCUUCAGAACUCAAGUUGCGGACCUCAAGCCUCAUCCACACUUGGACCCGAGUGACAUGAUGCGAUCUUGAACUGAGAGAAGUUGAGCACCAGUCCUUACAUUCUGCCAUCUUGAGAUCUUUCAUAAUCAAGAAUUUCUGAAGAGUUUAUCUAUCUUGAUUUCAUGCCCAAUGCAAGAAUCUGCUAUAAAAUAUGAAUGAAUUUCAUGAUCCAGUCUCUGCCUAAAACCUUCAGAGAAAGAUAUGUUGAUCAGAUUUUAUCGUUUUGGGCAAAGAACCAACACCAAAAGGAACCUCAGUUUACUCAUCUGCUGGAAGGCAGCUGCUCCAAGGACGCCCAUCAUUGCCAAGUGCCAACACCAAGCACCUCCGCCUCCACUAGUGGCCUGGGUCCCUUGCAGGAGCCUCUGAGGGACCUGAAGCUGCCAAGCUCAUCAACCCCAGCACUGCUGCUGCUGCCACCGCCAACGCUGCCAUUAGGCCAUGUGCCACCCCACCCUCCAGCUGGCCCUGCCCUGUUCACCUGGCACACUCCACUGCAUGCUGUCCUGAGGAGGUAUUCUUGAUAAAUGAAAAUGGUCUGUCACGAUGGAGGUGUGAGGUUCCAACGGUGCCUCCAUUUGUCAAAACUGUGCAGCUAACACUCAUGCCUUUCACUGUACAUACACUUAAACUAAUACAUAUAAAGAAUAAAAAUUGAGUAGGUGGGAAGUGUGUAUGAACAUAUAACUAUUCUAAGAAAAAAUGUUGCUAACUAUUAAAUCUGGGUGAGCAGUACAUAAAGUUCAUUUAUUGUUUACUUUGUCUAGUAAAUUUUAAAUUUCCCAUAAUACAUUUAAAAAGAGGAAGAAAGUUUUUCUUAAAAAAUGGGAUUUAACUGUAAAAUGAGUAUGUUUCUUGUAUGGCUGCUAGAGAGACUCUGGAAAUCAAAAAUAUGUUUCUAAAAUGUUUUGAACAAGGUAGUACAAUUUAAAUGGAUGAAUAGCAUAACAUGUUUUAAGACCUACCAAAGCAUAACACUCACUGUAAUGUGUAAAUAUGUCCAAAAUCAGUUUUAUUAUUUUAUGUGGUGCAACAUGUUACUUAAAUUAGCUCAUAACAUUUUUAUUUUAGUAGUGACUGUCCAUCAACCUAACCUUUAUAGGACAUUAUUAGUAGAAACUAGUUCCUAAUAAUGAUUUAACUGGCAGAGGGACAACAGGAACUUAAGCACAACAUUAAUUGUGGUGGCUCUUAGAUUCUAAAGUGAACUUUUUAAUUGUCAUUUAUUUGAAACCUCUUCUAAUUAUAGUAGUCCUUUUUAAUGAGUAAUUGGAGUGUUGGAUAGCUACUAUGCCAUCUUCCCAUUGGGUUUAGCAUUGCCUAAAUGAUUUUUUAAUGUUUACCCAUGUAACAUAUUGGUGAUACAAUAUACUAUUGGUGUAUAAAAAAACCUCAUUUAUCCAGAUUUCAAAUAAUUUGAAAUGUGAUGAACCACAAAUUUAUUUCUUUAGCUCAAGAGUUUUCUUCCAAUCUUUGAGCUUCAGACCUGCAUCUGCAACAACCUUUGGGAAAUCUCUGGGAUGUCUCCCCACAGGCAUCUGAAACUUACCCUUCUUUCAGAGGGGCUCACCCUGUCUUCCCCCCCGCCCCAGGAGAGAGCAACAUUCUCUAGCCCCCUGUUCAAAGCAGAAAUGAAGCAUCUUCCCAGACUUCUCGCUCUCUAAUCCUCCACAUCUAGUCACUCACCAAGUCCUGCUGUGUCUUGAGUAUUUCCUCUUUCCUUUUUUCCUGCUAUUUUCUCAGUUCAAACCCUCAAUAUUUCUUAGAUAACUGCAGUGACCUACUUCCAGGAGGCUGUGUUUCCAGUUUUUCCCUUCAUUCAAAUGUGUCCUCCAAAAUUGUUGAGAGAAUAGUCUUAAGAAAACGAAAAGCUCGUCGUGUUACUCUCUAGUUUAACUUAUUUAGGGCUUCUCCACUGCUAACUGAUGGAUAAAACUCUUAGCAAGGCAGACACAGCCCCUCAUGAUCCAGUCCUUGCCUGGACUCCAGCAUUACCUUUCAUCUUCCUGUUUACAUGCUAUGCUCCAGCCACGGUCCAUGACAUAUGGUACUCAUAAAGAAGCAUGCCACCUGUGUCUUCAUGAGUGUGUUCACUGUGCUACAUCUUCAUCCCAAUUUCCUAGGAAAAAAUGUAUUUGUCUUUCUAGAUUGUACUCAGGUAUUAGGCCCUUGUUAAAUGCCCCUUUCCCCAGUCCCAAGGAAGAACCAACCAUUAUAGCAUCUGCUGGCCUGGGCACCAUUUAUAGACGUCUAUCAUUACACUUCAACAUUUUUUGCCUUGUUGGGUUUCCAGGCCCAUUUCCCUCAUGCUUCAUUUUGGAAAGAAACUAUAUUUAUAUGCCUAAGAUGAGAACAGUCCCUAACACAUGCAGGCACUUCAUCAUUACUUGUUAAAUAAAGCCCAAGUAAAAAUGGUGUUCUUUGAUAUUCUUUUAUCUAAUUAAAAAAAAACUGAAAUCAUAAAAUCUAUAGUAUAGAUUCAGAUUAUAAGCGGUUACAGUUCUUUGACAAAUAGGAAAACUUUACACAUUCAAUCUCUCUCCCUCUCAUGUACACGUAGUCUGAAGUCUUAUCACUUGUAAAGCUGGUAUUCAUCAUAUUCUAGGGUACUGUUUCUGAUUUAUUAAAAAAUAUCUCCACUGAAGUUUAACAUUUUUCACUGCUUUCAAAUUUUCUGAAUAUCUAUAGGCAUGUGUGGUAUGUAAUAUAUGGCAACUUCCCAGUUAACAAAAUGUGAAACUAAUUUGGGUGAACAUCUGUAUUGCAUAGUUUAAGAAUAACUGAGGCAAAAUACUGCCUGGUGGUUAAAAAUAAUCCUCAAAAUUUUUUUGUUUACAUAAAACUUUUCCUUAAAAAGUCUAUAAAUUUGAAAUGAAUUUUCACUUUGCAAUUCAAAAAUAAAAGAUGAGUGGUAUAAAAUGUAGGGUCAUAAAGUUAAGCCCUUAUCAUGUUUUGACUCUUGAUCGAUAAGUGGGUAGAGGCUUAGAUUUCACAGAUUGAGGAGGUAAAGAUAGUUCAAAAAGAUCCAGAGGUUGAAAAACUGGAAAAUAGGAGUUAAUGGAAGGUAUUAGUAUUAUUGAGAAUAAAGAUGGUUGAUUUAAUAAAGUGUAUGAAGUUAC